AGCCUGAUGCAGCCAUGCCGCGUGUGUGAAGAAGGCCUUCGGGUUGUAAAGCACUUUCAGUUGUGAGGAAAGGUUAGUAGUUAAUACCUGCUAGCUGUGACGUUAACAACAGAAGAAGCACCGGCUAACUCCGUGCCAGCAGCCGCGGUAAUACGGAGGGUGCGAGCGUUAAUCGGAAUUACUGGGCGUAAAGCGUACGCAGGCGGUUUGUUAAGCGAGAUGUGAAAGCCCCGGGCUCAACCUGGGAACUGCAUUUCGAACUGGCAAACUAGAGUGUGAUAGAGGGUGGUAGAAUUUCAGGUGUAGCGGUGAAAUGCGUAGAGAUCUGAAGGAAUACCGAUGGCGAAGGCAGCCACCUGGGUCAACACUGACGCUCAUGUACGAAAGCGUGGGGAGCAAACGGGAUUAGAUACCCCGGUAGUCCACGCCGUAAACGAUGUCUACUAGGAGUGCGGUUUUUCGGAACUGUCUUCCAAAGCUAACGCAUUAAGUAGACCGCCUGG
rnacentral:rRNA from 1 species